UACGUAGGGAGCAAGCGUUGUCCGGAAUCAUUGGGCGUAAAGCGCGCGUAGGCGGUCUGGUAAGUCGGAUGUGAAAGCCCUUGGCUCAACUGAGGAAGUGCAUCCGAAACUGGCAGGCUAGAGUACUAAAGAGGGUGGCGGAAUUCCCGGUGUAGAGGUGAAAUUCGUAGAUAUCGGGAGGAACACCGGUGGCGAAGGCGGCGACCUGGGUAGAUACUGACGCUGAGGUGCGAAAGCGUGGGGAGCAAACAGG
rnacentral:rRNA from 1 species